AAUGAUACUUUGUUUAUUUAAAAAAUUCAAAGAAUUGUUAAACACCUGGUCAUCUCACUAUCAGACGCUAUCUUGCUUAUUUUUCCGCUUGUUUAAUUAUGGUACUUGAAAAUAAGCCGGAACAUGCGUACAAAAUAAUAAACGAAAAAAAUAUCAAUAAACAAAUGACCUGAUUUUAUAUAUAAAUUUUUUUUUUUGUUGUAUUUUUAUAGCAAUAGUAAUCGAUUUUAACGCGUGGUGUGUAGAUGAUUAAGCAUUGGCUGGCGGGAAAAUAGAUAGCUGUUUAAUGGCAUCGCUGGAUUGUUAAUUAAGCGAAACAUUAACACACAGUCAAUUUAUUUCUUCGAUAAUGUUGGGAAUUGGAGUAAAAUUAGAUAUCGCUUUAUACAUACUUAUUUGCGGUGGCAAAAGAUUGAUAUAAAGGAUCUGGUGGCUUUCAAAAACGCGGUGAGAUUUAAUAAGAUAAUCAUUGGAAUUGAAGUGUAUUGAAUUGAGUUAAAAUAAAAUCCAAGAGCUUUUUCAGUUUAUGUUUUUAAGAGUUUGAAUAAACUUAAUGUAAUAUUUUGGAUUCAAGAGCGAGUUAAAUACUUAAACCGUAAACAUUCUGUUAAUAUCCGAGCGUAACUAUCAUUUUAUUGUAAUAAUAAACGCGCGAGGUGGGAGCUUAUGUUUAUUAAACGAUAAAAAAUAUCCCAAGUAUUUAAAAAAUUUCAACUUCAUCUCAAGCAAUAACUGUUAUCGUAAUCAACAGUAAUUAAUUUUGUUUAUAGAUUGUAGUAUCUGUAUGAAGACCGAAAUAAAUUAAGAUAUAAUGUGCAAUGAUUGCGAUACAAGAUCAGAUGAGAGUGGAAUAGAAGAGACAUUUUUACAAUGGCCAAGUAGCGCAAUCGAAAGCCAGGAUAUAUUUUUUAUUGCCAACUAGUACGAGUUGAUGCCUCUCAGAUAAUAUGCAUAUAGGCAUAUAUGUUUGUAUACAAGUUAAUAUAAGAAGGUCAUACUCUUCGUGAUGCAUUACUUUUAAAUUUUCGAUAUCAAUAGAUAUGAAUCGAUCUUCGAACACAAAUUUAGUUAUUUAUUUUUAGGUUUUUAAGUAUUAAUAAUUUG